UACGUAGGGUGCAAGCGUUAAUCGGAAUUACUGGGCGUAAAGCGUGCGCAGGCGGUUCUAUAAGACAGAUGUGAAAUCCCCGGGCUCAACCUGGGAACUGCAUUUGUGACUGCAUCGCUGGAGUGCGGCAGAGGGAGGUGGAAUUCCGCGUGUAGCAGUGAAAUGCGUAGAUAUGCGGAGGAACACCGAUGGCGAAGGCAGCCUCCUGGGAUAACACUGACGCUCAGGCACGAAAGCGUGGGGAGCAAACAGG
rnacentral:rRNA from 1 species